UACGGGGGGGGCAAGCGUUGUUCGGAAUUACUGGGCGUAAAGGGCUCGUAGGCGGCCAACUAAGUCAGACGUGAAAUCCCUCGGCUUAACCGGGGAACUGCGUCUGAUACUGGAUGGCUUGAGAUUGGGAGAGGGAUGCGGAAUUCCAGGUGUAGCGGUGAAAUGCGCAGAUAUCGGGAAGAACACCCGUGGCGAAGGCGGCUCUCUGGGACGGUACUGACGCUGAGACGCGAAAGCGUGGGGAGCAAACAGG
rnacentral:rRNA from 1 species